UUGAUAAGCGUGAGGUCGGAGGUUCAAGUCCUCCCAGGCCCACCAAUUUAUGCUCGUUUUUUGCUUAUCCAAGAGUAUGAAGCUUAAGCGUAUUAAAGCCUCUUUUAAUCUUUGUUUAUUUUAAAGAUUUAAUUUUAUCAUUCAAAGAUUGUUUGUUAAAUUUAUUCUAUUAAGUUUGUCAAAGGGGGAGUUUGUCAAAGGAGGUUUUUAAAUCCCUUCAUUUUGAAAUUCCUUCAAGGUAUAGAGAAAUUUAAAUGAUGUAUAGAGAAAUUUAAAUGAUGCAAAUCAAAAUAGUACAAAUCAAAGUCGUAUAAAUGAUUCAAGUUGAUAAAUUUUCUUGAGGUUGAUUUGAGAGAGCAUUCUUUAGGGGCCGUAGCUCAGCUGGGA
rnacentral:misc_RNA from 1 species